rnacentral:rRNA from 1 species
AAACCCCGGGAAACUGGGGCUAACUCUAGAUAGGUGAAGAACUCUGGAAUGAGUCUUUGCCUAAAUAGGUUCACGUUAUCCUCGUGAACUUGCCUAAGGAUGAGGCCGCGACCGAUCAGGUUGUUGGCGAGGUAAUGGCUCACCAAGCCUUUUACCGGUGCGGGCCGUGGGAGCGGGAGCCCGGAGAUGGGUACUGAGACAAGGACCCAGGCCCUACGGGGCGCAGCAGUCGCGAAACCUUUGCAAUACACGAAAGUGUGACAGGGCUAUCCCGAGUGCCAUCCGCUGAGGAAGGCUUUUACCCAGUCUAGAACGCUGGGGGAAUAAGGAGAGGGCAAGUCUGGUGUCAGCCGCCGCGGUAAUACCAGCUCUCCGAGUGGUGUGGAUGUUUAUUGAGCCUAAAGCAUCCGUAGCUGGCUAGGUAAGUCCCUUGUUAAAUCCACCGAAUUAAUCGCUGGAUCGCGGGGGAUACUGCUUGGCUAGGGGACGAGAGAGGCAGACGGUAUUCUCGGGGUAGGGGUGAAAUCCUAUAAUCCCGGGAAGACCACCAGUGGCGAAGGCUGUCUGCUAGAACGCGCCCGACGGUGAGGGAUGAAAGCUGGGGGAGCGAACCGGAUUAGAUACCCGGGUAGUCCCAGCUGUAAACGAUGCAGACUAGGUGUUUGGACGGCCACGUGCCGUUCUAGUGCCGCAGGGAAGCUGUUAAGUCUGCCGCGUGGGGAGUACGAUCGCAAGAGGAAA